rnacentral:rRNA from 1 species
GACGAACGCUGGCGGCGUGCUUAACACAUGCAAGUCGAACGGAAAGGCCCUGCUUUUGUGGGGUGCUCGAGUGGCGAACGGGUGAGUAACACGUGAGUAACCUGCCCUUGACUUUGGGAUAACUUCAGGAAACUGGGGCUAAUACCGGAUAGGAGCUCCUGCUGCAUGGUGGGGGUUGGAAAGUUUCGGCGGUUGGGGAUGGACUCGCGGCUUAUCAGCUUGUUGGUGGGUUAGUGGCUUACCAAGGCUUUGACGGGUAGCCGGACUGCGAGGGUGACCGGCAUCGGUGGAGCGGAGACGCGGCACGGACGCCUGCGGGAGGCGGCGGUGGGGAAUAUUGCGCGAUGGGCGUAAGCCGGGUGCAGCCACGCCGCGUGAAGGAAGGCGGUUUGCGGAUUGUAAACUUCUGUUAUUAGUGAAGAAUAAUGACGGUAGCUAAGGAGCAAGCCACGGCUAACUACGUG